rnacentral:rRNA from 1 species
AGGUGCCUACGGGGCGCAGCAGUGAGGAAUAUUGGUCAAUGGGAGAGAUCCUGAACCAGCCAAGCCGCGUGAGGGAAGACGGCCCUAUGGGUUGUAAACCUCUUUUGUCGGAGAACAAAACCCGGGACGAGUCCCGGACUGCGUGUAUCCGAAGAAAAAGCAUCGGCUAACUCCGUGCCAGCAGCCGCGGUAAUACGGAGGAUGCGAGCGUUAUCCGGAUUUAUUGGGUUUAAAGGGUGCGUAGGCGGUCGGUUAAGUCAGCGGUAAAAUUGCGGGGCUGA